GGAGUUAGCCGGUGCUUCUUCUGUGAGUGAUGUCCUUCCUGCCGGCUAUUAACCCGCAGGCCUUCUUCCUCACUGAAAGUGCUUUACAACCCGAAGGCCUUCUUCACACACGCGGCAUGGCUGGAUCAGGGUUGCCCCCAUUGUCCAAUAUUCCCCACUGCUGCCUCCCGUAGGAGUCUGGGCCGUGUCUCAGUCCCAGUGUGGCUGAUCAUCCUCUCAGACCAGCUACGGAUCGUCGCCUUGGUGAGCCGUUACCUCACCAACCAGCUAAUCCGACAUAGGCUCAUCCGAUAGCGCGAGGCCCGAAGGUCCCCCGCUUUCCCCCGUAGGGCGUAUGCGGUAUUAGCCUGGGUUUCCCCCAGGUUAUCCCCCACUACCGGGCAGAUUCCUAUGCAUUACUCACCCGUCCGCCGCUCGCCACCAGGGAGCAAGCUCCCCGUGCUGCCGCUCGACUUGCAUGUGUUAGGCCUGCCGCCAGCGUUCAAUCUGAGCCAGGAUCAAACUCUGA
rnacentral:rRNA from 1 species